CGCAGCAGCUCCCCGCGCUCCUCCUGCUUUUGCAGAUCUGAAAGCACCCCGGAAACAGAGAGCGGUAAUUCCUCGGGAAGGGUUCGGGAUUUUUCCCUCUGGCCUUAACAACGGGGUCCAGCGCCUACAGGACGGGGUAAAUGCAAGACCUACAGAAAUCCUCCCUCAGACACCUCGUAGAUUCUGUCGGUGCUUGUCAAACCUCACAAAAUCUUUCUGCCCCCUGAGUGGCAAAGGAAGCCUGGAACAGCAACAUCGUGCUCUGUCUGCAACCAGAAAGAAAAGAGCCCAGAGAGACUGCAGCAGGAGCCCGAGACGCUGACAAGCUGGAGCGAAUGGCAGACGCCGGACACCCUGCGCGCCGAGGGCUGCGGAAUCCCUGACCGGGGACACGGAGCGACGAGGAAUCUGCCAGCCAGGGAGGGAAGCACAUCCAGCCAAGGCAGAGGGGCCCUUUGUCAGAACAGUCUCUGAACUACUGAGUUGUGUUGGUGUUCUGCUUGCCAAGCUUUUGAAUAUUCAAGCAAAUGUCGUAGCGAAAACUUGAAUGAGACUAUGAAUGGGACAAGUAUGGACAACAAGGAGCCCCUCUGCUGUAUAUUUACACACUACAGACUUCUGUCCAGUUGGAUUCUCUUUAGGAGAUAGAACCCUGUUCUAGUUUUCCAGGCAGGGUUGGUCACUGACCCUAUAAUUCUGUGUGGAGUUUGAGUCUCGUGGUUCACUCCUCCGCUCCAGCAAAGCUGGAAGUCCUGAGAGGCUUCUCUGUAACUCGCAGUCAAGCAUUUCUGGGUAUCCAGCUUCCCCUUUUACAUUAAACCUCCAUAAAAAACA